CUACGGGUUGCUGCAGUGGGGGAUAUUGCACAAUGGGCGAAAGCCUGAUGCAGCAACGCCGCGUGAAGGAUGACGGAUUUCGGUCUGUAAGCUUCUAUCAGCAGGGAAGAAAAUGACGGUACCUGACUAAGAAGCCCCGGCUAACUACGUGCCAGCAGCCGCGGUAAUACGUAGGGGGCAAGCGUUAUCCGGAAUUACUGGGUGUAAAGGGUACGUAGGCGGCUGAUCAAGUCAGAUGUGAAAGCCCGGAGCUCAACUCCGGGAUUGCAUUUGAAACUGGUCGGCUAGAGUGCAGGAGAGGAAAGUGGAAUUCCUAGUGUAGCGGUGAAAUGCGUAGAUAUUAGGAAGAACACCAGUGGCGAAGGCGGCUUUCUGGACUGUAACUGACGCUGAGGUACGAAAGCGUGGGGAGCGAACAGGAUUAGAUACCCCCGUAGUC
rnacentral:rRNA from 1 species